CUCUUAAGAAUGUUUAGAAUCUCCAGAGGCAUGUGUGACAUAUGCUGCCCUUUCUUGAAUUCUGUGCCACUCCGCUGGCCACAGCCACUUCCUCCCGUGCUCUGCUGGCUCUGUUUUUCUCUGUCACUGCUGUUUAUGGGGUAGCAAUUUCCUGAAAAUGGCUACUGUCGCUUCAUUGGCCACGGCAGGCACUGUCACUACAUCAUGUUCCUCCUCUGGGUGCCAAAUCUCUUGCUGACCCCUGAGCUCAGCAUUUCUCGGCUGCUGGAACCUCUGAACACCCAAAGGUCAAAUCUGCUCUGUGGUGUGUGGCAGAGUGACAGAGAAAGACUUCCUACUCUGUGUUCUGGAUUCAGAGCUGAGGUGACAAGCUGAUGGUAUCUGUGGCCUUUGGAAAAAGCACAUAUCAUAGCUGCUGCCCUACUUGAUGAGCCCUAUUCCACCCUCCCACACCCGAUCCUCAUUCUGGCAUGACAUCAGCUCUGCUUCCAGCCCCAAGUAUCAUCUUCUGCCCACCUGUUCCUGCAGCUCUAUGUGAACUUUGGUUUCAAGUUAGCAUCUCAACAUCCAUUUGGCAAAGACUUUUGGAAGGGGCUGUUAUGUACCACCCUGGAUCUAGCAUCAGGGAUCAAAUGAUUGUUUUCACGCAUAUUGUAAAAUUGAGAGCAAGAAGGAAAAUCAUAACAAAGAGAAUGUUCAAAGGAAUUAAUAUUAAUUAAGCACCCACCAUGUGCCAAGCACCAUGCUCGGUACUUUCCUCGCAAGAAUCCUACAGAUUUGAUAUUGGAAACUCCAUUUGACUGAUAAUGAACCUGAGUUUGAAAGAAAUUAAGUGACACUUUUUUGGUUUUAUUUUCAUCAGAGAACUUAUGAAUAUAUGAAAUACAUUUUUCUGUUUGUGGGCUUGCUUUGCUGCCUAUUUGCCUUACUCUAAGGCGAGUACAACCUGAGAUUGGAUCCUGCUAUUUUCUUCAAUAUUUCAUGCCCAGUUCCAAAAACAUUGCCUGGCAAAUACACUAGGUAACAAAAAUAUUUCUUGAAUGUGUGACUCAAUUGUUUAAUCAAUGAGUGAGUAAAUAAAAAUUGCACGGAG
rnacentral:lncRNA from 12 species